rnacentral:lncRNA from 1 species
GUACCGAGGCGGUUCCCAGCCCCUAUAAAAGGGAUGCGAGGGUUCCAAAGAAAGGGCUCCAAUUCUCUCAUUUCCUUUGCGUUCUUGCCUCGUUUUCCGUGCCCGUUCUAACCUGAAGCACUAGUCAUUUUGCUCAAGUCCCGAAGAUCGUUUCUACUCCCGAGAUUCCCGAGAAUCCCGAGAAAAAUCCGUUUCUCGAGACGAAACUCUGCCCGGUUUCCAUCUCGCUUUCUUCAAACUUUCAAGUGAGUUCAUACCCCUUAAUUAACCUUUUAAUUGUUCUAUAAAUGCUUUUAUAUGCUUUCAAGGGGGGAAUACAAGUAAAACACACGAGUAUCAUCGUGUGUUAUAUAAAGAUUUUUUAUAUGCUUUUAUAUAACCAAAUCAUAUGUGAUUUAUAAACUUUAUAGGGAACUUUCGUAUAUAAAAUAUGUUACAAUAGCAUUCUAUCUUUUGAAAUAUAAAUUGUUGUAAUGCAUGUAUAAACUAAACAUUUUCUUAGAUUAUAUGUAUACUUGUCUAUCUUAGGCUCUACAAAAAUCUAUACGUUCAUAACAAGUGAUUCCUUUUCUAGGUAUUUGUAAACAAACGAGACACACUUUUAUAAAACUAUAAUAGGUAUAGUUUUAUGAGAACAUUCCUAACUUUUACAUACUAGAAACACCAUUUUCAAGAAGUCAUUUUCAUAUACAAGAACAAACGAACAUUUUAACACGUANAGUAGAUCUGUUUUUAUACCACGGAUUUGUGAGACACUAACUUCAUGUACGUUCGAGUACACAUUUCAAGUCCUGUAUUAUAUACCAGAAUCCCUUGGAGGGGGAGCAUGGUGUUUGUGUAUAGAUCUAUACGGGCUUGACAAACCCGCGCCCUGACUGUUAGCUGCAGUCCACCGUUUGGGGUGACAAACGUCAUAACAUUCCAACGCCUGAAGAACGUUGUGUAUAGGCAUUCAGAGUCAAUAGUAUGGUUAUAAAACUCACAAGGGGUAUUAAAAUGCAUUGAUUUACAAGGUUUUCAAAUUCAUUGGUUCUUUUACAUUUACAUACAUUUUAGAAACAAACAUUGGUCUUGAGUGAAGGCUACUUUUAUACUAGUAGAAAAUAUUGGAUUUUCUAACCACAAACAAACGAAGAUAAAACAUUUCAGUUCAUUCAAACAUUGUCACUUAAAUACUUAUGAAAUUCACCAGCUUAAAUGCUGAUCUACUCUUUCAAAAUUACUUGUAUGUCCCAGGGAAUCAGUAAUUUCAGGUAUUCAUUUCGCUUUUGAUGAAGGGAUGCUGCGGCGCCAGUUUAAUCUCGUAUUUUGACAUCAUAUUGUAAUUGGGUUUUGAACAUGUAACUUUUGACAAAUGUAAACUUUCAAUUAUAUAUAUGAUGGUUGUAUUGCUUUCUUUACUAUGUAUUCAUUUGUUACGUUACCACAUGAAGUCAUCCGCCCCGGAACGUUUCCGCCGUUCAGGUUUGGGGGUGUGACAGAUUGGUAUCAGAGCAAUGUUUAUAGUGAACUAAGUAUAUCGAACCACAUAAGAUAUACAAACUAUAAUUGCAUAAGGGACUAAUACUCUCUGACAACACAUUUUCUUUUGUUUUUAUGCUUAAGUAGCGUUACGUUUAACUUAAAUUGUUAGUUCAUUUGACACUACGAUUAAAACUCGAUAUAUAUAAUCAGAUUUGGGACAAAUAUAGCGUGAUCAACUAUAUUUGCCCGAGAUCGGACCAAUAUACAUCGAGGAAUGCUCGUAAUAAGCAACAAGUCAAAACUUACCAAACCGUCACAAGAAUUUAAAUACUAUAGGAGUAUUUGCUACAUAAACUAGUUUAUUACAUGUUUNCUUGCGUGUUUCAACUUUAUUCAAUUCUUAUAACCCUAUUUCUCGUACAGUCAAAUGGCUGGAUUUCACCCCCCUGGCGACCCUUACUUUCCCAACCAAGGCAAUGGAGGAUGGGUCGAAGAUGAUCCCGAAGAGGACGAGGAACCCAUAGAAGUGGAUGAUGACUCCGGUACCGACUCAGAGCCGGAGGUGAUCAACCCACCACCCGUACAACCUCCCGUCUUCGUAAGGAACUUUCAAGGACCCGUCUGGGGAAGUCACCUCCACCAUUGGAGGCAACAACAAAACCUACGCCCUCCCUACGGCAUGUGCCGAGACUUCUACGAUGUUCGAGGCGGAGGUUCGGUUGAUCGGGCACUCCUAGUAAUGGUGGGUAAGCUACCCAAUCAGUCCUAUCAAUCUGGAGUUCAAGCUAGCCGACUUCAGGAUGUCAACGUGGAAGUACGGGUUCACACUUCCGACAUCCGUAGGCUGGACAGAAUGCAAGACAAUGCCCAACUCCAAACCGAGGCAUUCCAAGCGCAAAUGAUUGCAGCCCUCACCGAAUUGAGGGAACAACAAGCCGCUUUUGAUAGGCGUCUAAUGGAGUCAAAGCAAUCGGAUGUGGAGUCAAGCUCCAAGCGCAACCUACGUCGCAAGUAGUGCUUGCAAAAAUCUCAAAUUUUAUUAUAAGUUAGGACCUCGGCUAAAAGUCUAUAAAUUUCUCAAACUUUGUAACCGGAGACCCUUAUAGGGGUCAGUUUUUCGUGAUCGUUGUAUCAAUUAUUAUAUUAAUAUAAGUCGCACUAUUAUUACUAUGUUGAGUAUUUCAUUAAAUCCUUGAAAAGUCAUCGAGAAAACCAAAUGCUUGAUUCAUAUUUUCAGUCUUACACAUAUAACUUUCAUUAUGCUAUUUUAAGACUCAUACUAUCAUCUGUUGUCGAACUAUAGCAAUUUGGUUCAUAAGACACAUUCAGUUUCUACUAAGUAAUUCUUAUCGUUAUCUUUUCAAACCUUUGGUUGAAGGAUGCCUCCGCGUAGGAAUCCAAGGCGAAACAACGGUGGGGAAGCACCUAUACUACCACCACCUCCACCACCUCAAUUUGAUGCUGUCAUGUUCCAAGCAGCAGUCACCGCAGCGGUAGCAGCUGCCAUAUCCCAGAUCAAUAACUCGAGUACUACUGGCUCGGGAACUGGCACACAUCUAUCCAACCAUGGCGAGAGUUAUGGGCAACCCUGAGAAUGCACCUAUAAGGAUUUUACUAAUGCCAAACCCCGGAUGUUUUAUGGGACUGGUGGGGUGAUAGCCCUGAGGCAGUGGAUUGAAAGGACGGAGUCAGUCUUUGAAAUCUGCUCCUGUCCCGAGCACAGCAAAGUCUAGUUUAGAACUUUCACCAUUAUUGAUAGAGCUUUAACUUGGUGGAAUGGCCACGUUAAGGUACUUACCCUGAUAGUGGCAAACUCCAUAAGCUGGGAGAGCUUAAAGGUCAUGUUGAUGAGAGAAUACUGUCCACGGGGAGAGAUUCAAAAACUCGAGCACGAACUCUGGACUCUUGGAAUGGUUGGUAACGACAUCGCAACUUAUACCAACAGGUUCUGCGAUCUGGCAAUCCUUUGCCCAGAUAUGACUGCUCCUGAGAGCAAGAAAAUAAAGAGAUACAUUUGGGGGCUGUCUCUCCAAAUUAGGUCAAGCGUGUUAGCUUCAAAACCUGACACUUUUGAAAGUGCCAAGGAACUGGCACAAUCCCUUGUUGAUUAUGGAGGCCAUCAGAACUCAACGGUUGCUACACCAGAACCACAAAAGGGAAACAACAACAACAACAACAACAACAACAACAACAACAACAAUAACAAGAAGAGGGUAUGGAAUAAAGGGAAGGGUGGGUCUCCCCAAGAAUCUGCGAAGAAACAACUGGUCUCAGUGAAUGCUGCCACUGUACCUACUACAGUUCCUACAAAUACCUACCCAACCAAGCCUUAUGUAGGUAACCUUCCAAAGUGCGCCAAAUGCACUUACCACCAUCAUGGACCUUGUCGGGAAAUGCAGUGCGCCAACUGCAANNNNNNNNNNNNNNNNNNNNNNNNNNNNNNNNNNNNNNNNNNNNNNNNNNNNNNNNNNNNNNNNNNNNNNNNNNNNNNNNNNNNNNNNNNNNNNNNNNNNNNNNNNNNNNNNNNNNNNNNNNNNNNNNNNNNNNNNNNNNNNNNNNNNNNNNNNNNNNNNNNNNNNNNNNNNNNNNNNNNNNNNNNNNNNNNNNNNNNNNNNNNNNNNNNNNNNNNNNNNNNNNNNNNNNNNNNNNNNNNNNNNNNNNNNNNNNNNNNNNNNNNNNNNNNNNNNNNNAACUGUCCUAAGGCAGCAGGCACCGGAGGUGUGGGACGAGUUUUGGCAAUAGGCCACGACGAAGCUGUAGCUGACCCAACUAUAGUUGCUGGUACGUUCCUUCUCGAUAAUUCAUAUGCAUGCAUAUUAUUCGAUAGUGGAGCGGAGAGAAGCUUCGUGAGUCAAAACUUUAUUCAUUUACUUAAACCUAAACCUAGCAAGUUAGAAAAAUCAUUCACUGUUGAGAUGGCCAAUGGAAAAACCGAAAGCACUAACUGCAUAUACAUGGACUGUACGUUAACUUUAGACGGUCAUUCUUUCCCAAUCAAUCUCAUGUCGGUCCCAAUUAAAAGUUUCGACAUCAUAGUCGGCAUGGAUUGGUUGAGUCUUCUUCGCGCCGACAUCAUGUGCUUUGAGAAAGUAGUUCGUCUUAAUCUCCUUAACAACGAAACAUUAGUCAUCUACGGCGACAAAUCAAGUACAAACCUUCGCAUCAUUUCGUGCAUCCAAGCUCGAAAGUGCUUGCGGAAGGAUUGUCGAGCAUUCCUAGCGCACAUCGUCGAUACAAGUCAAGAACUGAAGGACAUCAAGAACAUUCCAGAAUUAUGCGACUUUCCCGAUAACUUUCCAGAAGAACUACCAGGAUUACCACCACAACGCCAAGUCGAGUUUAGAAUUGACUUAGUUCCAGGGGCUACCCCAGUAGCGAGGUCGCCUUAUCGUCUCGCAUCAGCAGAGAUGUAGGAACUUUCCAGUCAACUUAAUGAACUCCUUCAAAAAGGAUUCAUAAGACCAAGUUUCUCACCUUGGGGAGCACCGGUCUUGUUCGUAAAGAAGAAAGACGGAUUGACGACCUAUUUGAUCAACUUCAACCGUGAUCCUCUACCCCAUAUUGAUGACCUAUUUGAUUAACUUCAAGGAGCAAACUACUUCUCAAAAAUAGAUCUACGAUCCGGAUAUCACCAAUUACGAGUACUAGAGGGUGAUAUUCCCAAGACAGCUUUCCGAACUCGUUAUGGACACUACGAAUUUGUAAUGAUGCCGUUCGGAUUAACCAACGCACCAGCAGUAUUUAUGGACCUAAUGAAUAGGGUAUGCCGUGCUUACUUGGAUCAGUUCGUCAUCGUCUUUAUCGAUGAUAUACUUAUCUACUCCCGAAGUAAGGAAGAGCAUAGUCAGCACCUACGAAAAGUCCUAGAAACACUGCGAACGGAGAAACUCUAUGCGAAGUUCUCUAAAUGCGAAUUUUGGAUUCGAAGAGUCGAAUUUUUAGGCCACGUUGUUAGCGAGAAAGGUAUACACGUGGACCCCUCCAAAAUUAAGGCUAUUGAGAACUGGUCGGCACCAAAGACACCUACAGAAAUUCGUCAAUUUCUAGGUCUAGCUGGCUACUAUCGCAGAUUCAUAAAGAACUUUUCGAGCAUUGCGAAACCUCUUACUACAUUAACCCAGAAAGGUGUGGCCUUUGACUGGGAAGCGAAACAAGAGAAGGCAUUCCAGACACUAAAACAGGCCUUGUGCACCGCACCGAUACUAUCCCUCCCCGAAGGGAUAGAAGAUUUCGUAGUGUAUUGCGAUGCAUCAAACCAAGGACUUGGUUGUGUUCUUAUGCAGAGAGGGAAGGUUAUUGCUUAUGCCUCCCGACAGCUUAAGACACACGAAGUGAACUAUACGACACACGAUCUUGAGUUAGGAGCAGUGGUAUUUGCUCUGAAGAUCUGGAGACACUACUUAUACGGAACAAAGAGUACUAUUUUCACCGAUCACAAGAGCCUUCAACACAUUUUUGAUCAGAAGGAACUCAACAUGCGACAACGACGAUGGGUUGAGUUACUCAAUGACUACGAAUGUGAAAUUCGUUAUCAUCCUGGCAAGGCCAACGUGGUAGCUGACGCCCUCAGUCGAAAGGAAUACACUGGUCGGAGGGUCAAAUCUCUGACUAUGACUAUCCAUUCCCACUUAUCCACACAAAUUAAGGAGGCACAAAUGGAAGCUUUGCAACCUGAAAAUGUGGCGGGUGAAUCCCUGCGAGGAAUGGAAAAGAAUCUAGAAGUCAAGGGUGGCGGAGCAUAUUAUCUCAUGGACCGAAUCUGGACACCGAAACAUGGUGGUUUCAGAGACGUAGUCAUGACCGAAGCACACAACACAAGAUAUUCCGUUCACCCAGGUUCAGAUAAAAUGUAUCUGGAUCUUAAGAAACUGUACUGGUGGCCUAACAUGAAAGCAGAAAUUGCUACCUUUGUAAGUAAAUGCCUUACUUGCGCAAAGGUUAAGGUCGAGUAUCAAAAACCGUCAGGAUUACUACAACAACCGGAGAUACCAGAAUGGAAAUGGGAACGGAUUACUAUGGACUUCAUAACCAAGUUGCCCAAGACGACGGGUGGACUUGAUACCAUAUGGGUCAUCGUCGACAGAUUGACCAAAUCCGCGCAUUUCCUACCAAUCAAGGAGACUGACAAAAUGGAAAAGCUUACAAGAACUUACAUAAGGGAAGUAGUGCGACUGCAUGGUGUUCCGAUAUCCAUUAUCUCCGAUAGAGAUAGUAGAUUCACUUCAAGAUUCUGGCAGUCACUACAAAGUUCCCUGGGGACUAGGCUAGACAUGAGUACAGCCUACCACCCACAAACAGACGGGCAAAGUGAGAGAACGAUACAAACUUUGGAAGAUAUGCUGAGAGCCUGUGUGAUUGACUUUGGAAAGGCAUGGGAUAUCCAUUUACCCCUUGUCGAAUUUUCAUACAACAAUAGUUAUCAUACAAGCAUAAAGGCUGCUCCGUUUGAAGCCCUCUAUGGUCGAAAGUGCAGAUCCCCUCUGUGCUGGACUGAAGUUGGCGAUACCCAGUUAGCUAGAGGACGAGUUCCUGAAAGCACUCUCACCGGUCCAGAAAUCAUACGAGAAACGACAGAGAAGAUCGUUCAAAUUCGUGAACGGUUGAAAGCCUCCAGAGACCGACAGAAAAGCUACGCUGACCAAAGGAGGAAACCUUUGGAAUUCCAGGUGGGAGACCAUGUUUUAUUGAAGGUCUCACCGUGGAAGGGUUUAAUACGCUUUGGGAAGCGUGGGAAACUAAAUCCAAGAUACAUAGGGCCUUUCGAGAUUCUUGCUAGAAUCGGCCCUGUGGCUUACAAACUUAACCUACCGCGUGAACUUAGUAACAUACAUCCAACCUUCCAUGUCUCGAACUUGAAAAAGUGUCUGUCCGAUGAGACUCUUGUUAUUCCACUCGACGAGAUCGAGAUCAACGAGAGCCUCAACUUUGUGGAAGAACCGGUAGAAAUCAUGGACCGAGAGGUCAAACAAACAAAACAAAGUCGCAUACCCAUCGUGAAGGUUCGCUGGAACGCCAAGCGGGGACCUGAAUUCACAUGGGAACGCGAAGAUCAGAUGAAACAAAAGUACCCUCAUCUUUUUCUCUGAUCCACUAGUAUCUUUACUAUUUUAAAUUUCGGGACGAAAUUCCCUCUAACGGGGGGAUGAUGUGACAACCCGAUAUUUCAACUCUUUGUAAUGACCUAAAAAGUCAAGUAUUGUAACCACCUUUGAGUUAAUGAAAUUAACUUUCAUAAUAAAAUGUCCAAAAAGUUUCUAUUUAAAUUCCUACUAUGUUUAAUGUCAUUAAACUGUGAUCGUACGUAAAAAGAACACCCAAAUCCGACUUCAUUUAUUAAAGUUAUGAUUUUCCAAGAUUCGGCAUAGCAGCAGUCAGCUAAAAACUCGAAUCGGAGAUCGAGCGAAUUUUUGCCGGAAUGACCUAAACGUGAAUCGAAGGUCUCAACAAUGGUAAUUCAGCGGUAAAAAGUCUGGCAAAAACCGACGUCAGAUAAAGAAGUUAUGAAUUUUUAAAGAAAUUCCUUAAACACGACCCUUUUAAAAAUAAAUAAUAAAAAUAAUUUCAAAAUUUGCCGACGGAGUCUAAACGAAAGUUGUAGAGCGUAGUCUCACCUACGCGUGGAUAUAAAGACCAUCGAAAACGGAAUUCGUAUGAAGAAGAUAUGAAUUUUAGAAGUUUAUUAAUUAAAUUAAAUAUAAAUUUAAUUAUAAAUGUUUGGUAUUAUCCGAAGGGAGUCAGCAGAUAGGCCCGAAGUACGCCCUGCGUACCCUCGUACACCCGGCGUACUCAAGGCCUAGGCCUCGGAUCGUCCACGUCCCAGUCUAUGCGAAGCUAGCAAGUCCCAUCCGAAGUCCGAGGCAGUCGAGGACUCGGUCAUGCAUGACGUACGCGUACGCCCCGCGUACCCUCGUACGCCUUGCGUACCGAGGCGGUUCCCAGCCCCUAUAAAAGGGAUGCGAGGGUUCCGAAGAAAGGGCUCCGAUUCUCUCAUUUCCUUUGUGUUCUUGCCUUGUUUUUUGUGCCCGUUCUAACCCGAAGCCCUGGUCAUUUUGCUCAAGUCCCGAAGAUCGUUUCUACUCCCGAGAUUCCCGAGAAUCCCGAGAAAAAUCCGUUUCCCGAGACGAAACUCUGCCCGGUUUCCAUCUCGCUUUCUUCAAACUUUCAAGUGAGUUCAUACCCCUUAAUUAACCUUUUAAAUGUUCUAUAAAUGCUUUUAUAUGCUUUCAAGGGGGGGAAUACAAGUAAAACACACGAGUAUCAUCGUGUGUUAUAUAAAGAAUUUUUAUAUGCUUUUAUAUAACCAAAUCAUAUGUGAUUUAUAAACUUUAUAGGGAACUCUCGUAUAUAAAAUAUGUUACAAUAGCAUUCUAUCUUUUGAAAUAUAAAUUGUUGUAAUGCAUGUAUAAACUAAACAUUUUCUUAGAUUAUAUGUAUACUUGUCUAUCUUAGGCUCUACAAAAAUCUAUACUUUCAUAACAAGUGAUUCCUUUUCUAGGUAUUUCUAAACAAACGAGACACACUUUUAGAAAACUAUAAUAGGUAUAGUUUUAUGAGAACAUUGCUAACUUUUACAUACUAGAAACACGAUUUUAAAGUAAUCAUUUUCAUAUAGAAGAACAAACGAACAUUUUAACACGUAAAUCUGUUUUCAUACCACGGUUUGUGAGACAUUAACUUCACGUACGUUCGAGUACACAUUUCAAGUCCUGUAUUAUAUACCAGAAUCCCUUGGAGGGGGAGCAUGGUGUUUGUGUAUAGAUCUAUACGGGCUUGACAACCCGCGCCUUGACUGUUAGCUACAGUCCACCAUUUGGGGUGACAAACGUCAUAACAUUCCAACGCCUGAAGAACGUUGUGUAUAGGCAUUCCGAGUCAAUAGUAUGGUUAUAAAACUCACAUGGGGUAUUAAAAAUGCAUUGAUUUACGAGGUUUUCAAACAUAUUGGUUAUUUUACACUUACAUACAUUUUUAGAAACAAACAUUGGUCUUGAGAGAAGGCUACUUUUAUACUUGUAGAAAAUAUAGGAUUUUCUAGAAACAAACAAACAAGGACAAAACAUUUCAUUUCAUACAAACAUUGUCAUUUAAUACUUAUGAAACUCGCCAGCUUAAAUGCUGAUCUACUCUGUCAAAAUUACUUGUAUGUCCUAGGGAUUCAGUAAUUUCAGGUACUAAUAUGCUUUUGAAGAAGAGAUGCUGCAGCGCCUGUUUAAUCUCA